AGAGUUUGAUCCUGGCUCAGAUUGAACGCUGGCGGCAGGCCUAACACAUGCAAGUCGAACGGUAACAGGAAGAAGCUUGCUUCUUUGCUGACGAGUGGCGGACGGGUGAGUAAUGUCUGGGAAACUGCCUGAUGGAGGGGGAUAACUACUGGAAACGGUAGCUAAUACCGCAUAACGUCGCAAGACCAAAGAGGGGGACCUUCGGGCCUCUUGCCAUCGGAUGUGCCCAGAUGGGAUUAGCUAGUAGGUGGGGUAACGGCUCACCUAGGCGACGAUCCCUAGCUGGUCUGAGAGGAUGACCAGCCACACUGGAACUGAGACACGGUCCAGACUCCUACGGGAGGCAGCAGUGGGGAAUAUUGCACAAUGGGCGCAAGCCUGAUGCAGCCAUGCCGCGUGUAUGAAGAAGGCCUUCGGAUUGUAAAGUACUUUCAGCGGGGAGGAAGGGAGUAAAGUUAAUACCUUUGCUCAUUUGACGUUACCCGCAGAAAAAGCACCGGCUAACUCCGUGCCAGCAGCCGCGGUAAU
rnacentral:rRNA from 1 species